ACAGGCAUGAGACAGACCAAGACUUUAUUUUGUCUUUGUCUCUCUCAUGCCUGUUC
rnacentral:pre_miRNA from 1 species